UAACACGUGGGUAACCUGCCCCGGAAGUGGGGAAUACCUCGGGGAAACUCGAGCUAAUACCGCAUGACAUCUUCGGGACGAAAGUUCUGACGAUCAAAGCGGGGUCGCAAGAUCUCGCGCUACCGGAUGGGCCCGCGCCCGAUUAGCUAGUUGGUGAGGUAACGGCUCACCAAGGCUUCGACGGGUAGCUGGUCUGAGAGGACGAUCAGCCGGAUUGGGACUGAGAUACGGCCCAG
rnacentral:rRNA from 1 species